rnacentral:rRNA from 1 species
UCAGACACGUCAGAGUUUGAUCCUGGCUCAGGAUGAACGCUAGCUACAGGCUUAACACAUGCAAGUCGAGGGGCAGCAUGAUCGAAGCUUGCUUUGAUUGAUGGCGACCGGCGCACGGGUGAGUAACACGUAUCCAACCUGGCUCAGACUCGGGGAUAGCCUUUCGAAAGAAAGAUUAAUACCCGAUGGCAUGAAGCUCCCGCAUGAGGGCUUCAUUAAAGAUUCAUCGGUCUGAGAUGGGGAUGCGUUCCAUUAGGCAGUUGGCGGGGUAACGGCCUACCAAGGCAACGAUGGGUAGGGGAACUGAGAGGUUUAUCCCCCACAUUGGUACUGAGACACGGACCAA